rnacentral:lncRNA from 1 species
CAUUGUAUUAUGGUGAGUAUUCAAAUUAUGGGCCUGGGGCUUCAACUUCGGGUCGGGUCCAGUGGCCAGGGUAUCAUGCAUCACUUACACCGGUUGCUGCACAAGCCUUCACUGUUAGUGGUUUCAUCUCUGGGAACCUUUGGUUGCCUUCCACUGGGGUUUCUUUUGAUCCGGGACUCAUUAAAUGAUUGCAAUAGCGGUUUUCGCACUCUCAAUUUAGCUUCUGACACUUCGGUUGUGAUUGUAAAACUUUAGGACUCUCAGGUUUCCAGCUCAGAAUUUGCAUACCCAUCAACUGAUAGGUUGCAAGUAUUUAUAAUAAUCUUGAUAUUACAUCAGGGGUUUAUCAUCCCUAUUUACACGGCAAUUUUUGAAUUUGAAUAAUACAACAUCUGUGAAAACAAACUUUAAAACAUUUAAAAUAAUCUAGACCUAUCAGAGUUAUCCUUGGAUAAGGACUGCAUUCCUAGAUAACAGACUUUAGAGUUUAAACAUGAGCUGAAUUCUUGAUAACUCUGACUUGGUCUAAUAGUGAUGUGAACGUACAAAGUAUAUAACAUACUCAAUUUAAAUGCGAGAAGCUAAACUAAGAGUGCCAAAAUCACUACCUUUUGAAGGCAUUGUGCAUUUGUAUAAAGUUGUAUUUGUGUUUGGUUAGAUGUGAUCUAAAACCAAAGGGCUUAUGUGAUCGCAGGCCUAUUGUAGUUAUGUUGAGUGAUCUUAGUGUUUUGGGCAUUCGAUCCCCUUGAAACAAGCAAUAGUUGUGUUACUAUACUUUAAGUUUAAAAAUCCAGUUGAAUAGAUUAGUGACUUAUGUAACUUGUGUUGCUUUUGGUGAAUGCAAAUUCACUUACGAAUAACAACGGUCUUCAUUCUUAUAAAUUUUACAAUUAGAACUGUUACAUAAUAGGAGUCUAAAUUGUGGGUGCAAAGAAAUUUCUCAAUAACCAAAAUGACAAUUUCCUCAAUGUUGUGAAAUCUUUAGAUAAAUGUCUUAUAUUUACAGUACGAGUAAGUACAAAUAUAUGUGUGUUAUGUAAUAUGAAUCCUCCACUAAUCACCAUUUAUCAAUCUUAAUCUAGAGUUUACAAAUAAAUUAGUGGUGUCUAGGGACCAAUAAUUCCAUAAACAAAACUACAAACAAUCCAAUAAACAAUUUGUAAUAUAUAUUGAUGCUAACCUAGUUUUUAAUACAAAAAAAAAAAAAAAAUCACAUAACAAGUAUAAACUUAAAGAUUUGACUCCCCCGGUUUAUAUUAUAAACGGCAAUUAGAACUGUUACAUAAUAGGAGUCCAAAUUGUGGGUGCAAAAAAAAAAUCUCAAUAACUGAAACGACAAUUUCCUCAAUGUUGUGAAAUCUUUAGAUAAACAUCUUAUAUUUUCGGUACGAGUAAUAUAGAUAUAUGUGUGUUGUGAUUAAUGAAUCCUCCACUAAUCACCAUUUGUCAAUCUUAAUCUAGAGUUGAUAAAUAAAUUAGUGGUGACUAGGGACCAAUAAUUCCAUAAACAAAACUACUAAUAUAUAACAUACUCAAUUUAAAUGCGAGAAGCUAAACUGAGAGUGCCAAAAUCACUACCUUUUGAAGGCGUUGUGCAUUUGUAUAAAGUUGUAUUUGUGUUUGGUUAGAUGUGAUUUGAAACCAAAGGGCUUAUGUGAUCGCAAGCCUAUUGUAGUUAUGUUGUGUGAUCUUAGUGUUUUGGGCCUUCGAUCCCCUGAAACAAGCAAUAGUUGUGUUACUAUUCUUUAAGUUUAAAAAUCCAGUUGAAUAGAUUAGUGGCUUAUGUAACUUGUGUUGCUUUUGGUGAAUGCAAAUUCACUUACGAAUAACAAUGGUCUUCAUCGUAUAAAUUUUACAAUUAGAACUGUUACAUAAUAGGAGUCUAAAUUGUGGGUGCAAAGAAAUUUCUCAAUAACCAAAAUGACAAUUUCCUCAAUGUUGUGAAAUCUUUAGAUAAAUGUCUUAUAUUUACGGUAUGAGUAAGUACAUUUAUAUGUGUGUUGUGAUUAAUGAAUCCUCCACUAAUCACCAUUUGUCAAUCUUAAUCUAGAGUUUACAAAUAAAUUAGUGUUGACUAGGGACCAAUAAUUCCAUAAACAAAACUACAAACAAUCCAAUAAACAAUUUGUAAUAUAUAUUGAUGCUAACCUAGUUUUUAAUACAAAAAAAUAAAAUAAAAUAAAAUAAAAUAAAAUCACAUAAAAAAUAUAAACUUAAAGAUUUGAUUCCACCGGCGUAUAUUAUAAACGACAAUUAGAACUGUUAGAUAAUAGGAGUCUAAAUUGUGGGUGCAAAAAAAUUUCUCAAUAUCUGAAACGAUAAUUUCCUCAAUGUUGUAAAAUCUUUAGAUAAACAUCUUAUAUUUUCGGUAUGAGUAAGUAUAGAUAUAUGUGUGUUGUGAUUAAUGAAUCCUCCACUAAUCACCAUUUGUCAAUCUUAAUCUAGAGUUUAUAAAUAAAUUAGUGGUGACUAGGGACCAAUAAUUCCAUAAACAAAACUACAAAGUAUAUAACAUACUCAAUUUAAAUGCAAUAAGCUAAACUGAGAGUGCCAAAAUCACUACCUUUUGAAGGCGUUGUGCAUUUGUAUAAAGUUGUAUUUGUGUUUGGUUAGAUGUGAUCUGAAACCAAAGGGCUUAUGUGAUCACAGGCCUAUUGUAGUUAUGUUGUGUGAUCUUAGUGUUUUGAGCCUUCGAUCCCCUUGAAACAAGCAAUAGUUGUAUUACUAUUCUUUAAGUUUAAAAAUCCAAUUGAAUAGAUUAGUGGCUUAUGUAACUUGUGUUGCUUUUGGUGAAUGCAAAUUCACUUACGAGUAACAACGGUCUUCCUCGUAUAAAUUUUACAAUUAGAAAUGUUACAUAAUAGGAGUCUAAAUUGUGGGUGCAAAGAAAUUUCUAGACCUAACAUUCGUGUCGUUUUCAUGUCAUACCUGAUAUCUUAACGGGUCGUGUCGUGUAACACCCGUUAAAAUAAACGGGUAAAAUGACCCGACCUGAAAUCAACCUGAUAAUAUUAACAGGUAAUAUGACCCGACCUGUUACCCAUUAAGGAAAAUAUAUUUUAAACCAAUAAAUAAUCAAAUGAAAAACAUAAUACUAAAUAAGUAUAUACAUACCAUAUUGUCACAUCCAAAACAUAAAAACGCAAUUUUCUUUUAAGUAUAUUUUUGCUUACCUAAAUUGAUCAAAUGGUAAAAUUGGAAAAUAUUAGAAUAGAGAAGGGGUUUUUUCGUCCAAAAAAGUUUUUAUAAUAUAAGUGAAAUAGAAUCCAAAGGUACAUAUUUACUCUCAUUUAUCUUACGGCUGUUAUUUAAGUAAAGUCUUUAAUAGUUUUUUAAUUAAUGUAGAAGUGUAAAAAAUAUAUAAACACUUGUAAUGACAAGCUUUACAACUUUAAUGAAAAGCUUAACUUUGAAAUUCGCCACAAUAAUCAUAUAAAUCAUAGAUCGAAAUUUAAUCGUUGAUUGUUGUUUACAUUUACGCUUCAUUGUUCUCAUCAAAUUUUGAUUUUGAAAACAUGAUCUAUUGGAGGAUGCAGGAAGAUGAAUGGUUUGGAUCGUUGAUAUUAUAUUCAGAGUUUUAUGGUUAGUGAAAAUAUUGCUUGAUGUUUAUAAAGUUUCUACAAACUAUAUGACAUCGACUCAUAUUUCAAUUAACCGUAAAUAUCGAAACAUGAUAUCAAAUAUCUGAACUAUUCAUAUUCUUACAUCUGCUAGAUGAUCAUGUUUUCAAAAAAGAAAAUUUAAAAAUGAAAUUCAGUAAGAAGAAUAAAGCAUAAAUGACAAUCGACAAUUAAAUAUAAAUUUAAGGUUUAUGGAUUAUAGUGUUGGAUUUCGAAGCUGACCCCUUCAUGAAAGUUGUAAAGCUUGUCACUAUGAGUGAUUGUAUAUUUUUUUUUUACAUUUUUUACACUUGUACAAUAAUUAUUCUUGAUUUUAUUAAUUUUGCCCUCGAAUAAAAAACAUUAUUCAUGAGGGUUUGGAGGAUUUUAAAAAUCUAAACGAUAAUGUAAGUGUAACCAUUAUCUACUCGUGGAGGAAUAAUGAUGAAUCACGAGUAUUUAUAUAUUUUUUCACAUUUUUCAUACUUGUAUGUAUGUCUUCUUAGUUCUCACCUACACAAAUACUAUACUAGUUUAUUUUAAUUUUGGACAACAACAUGUUAAGUAAAAUUUAUCCUAGUAAUGAUAAUAAGGAACUCUCAUAAUUAAAAUAAAUAAUGACAAAAACUUUUUUUUUUUUUAAACUUAUAUCGAAUAAUAAUACAAAACUAUAUAUUUAAUAUAGAAUAUAUUGUAUAUAUUAAUAUGGCUAUUGUAUUUUAUAAUAAAUCUUUUAGUAAUUAAACUUUAAAAUGAUCAGCAUAAUUUUUUCCUUAAUGGGUCGAAAUGGGUUACCCACGUGUUACCCUCGUGUAUACCCGUUAAGAGCGCGUUAUUCGGGUCACCCGAUAAUGACCCGAUUAGUUAUCGCGUUGACCCGAAACCCGUUAUUUUCGUGCCGUGUCAGAAACUGCUAGGUCUAGAAAUUUCUCAAUAACCAAAAUGACAAUUUCCUCAAUGUUGUGAAAUCUUUAGAUAAAUGUCUUAUAUUUAUGGUACGAGUAAGUAUAUAUAUUUGUGUUGUAAUUAAUGAAUCCUCCACUAAUCACCAUUUGUCAAUCUUAAUAUAGAGUUUACAAAUAAAUUAGUGGUGACUAGGGACCAAUAAUUCCAUAAACAAAACUACAAACAAUCCAAUAAACAAUUUGUAAUAUAUAUUAAUGCUAACCUAGUUUUUAAUACAAAAAAAAAAUCACAUAAAAAAUAUAAACUUAAAGAUAUGACUCCCCCAACGCAUAUUAUAAAUGGCAAUUACAACUGUUACAUAAUAGGAGUCCAAAUUGUGGGUGCAAAAAAAAUUCUCAAUAACCGAAACGACAAUUUCCUCAAUGUUGUGAAAUCUUUAGAUAAAUAUCUUAUAUUUUCGGUACGAGUAAGUAUAGAUAUAUGUGUGUUGUGAUUAAUGAAUCAUCCACUAAUCACCAUUUGUCAAUCUUAAUCUAGAGUUUAUAAAUAAGUUAGUGGUGACUAAGGACAAAUAAUUCCAUAAACAAAACUACAAAGUAUAUAACAUACUCAAUUUAAAUGCGAGAAGCUAAACUGAGAGUGCCAAAAUCACUACCUUUUGAAGGCGUUGUGCAUUUGUAUAAAGUUGUAUUUGUGUUUGGUUAGAUGUGAUGUGAUUUGAAACCAAAAGGCUUAUUUGAUCGCAGACCUAUUGUAGGUAUGUUGUGUGAUCUUAGGGUUUUGGGCCUUCGAUCCCCUUGAAACAAGCAAUAGAAUUGUGUUACUAUUCUUUAAGUUUAAAAAUCCAGUUGAAUAGAUUAGUAGCUUAUGUAACUUGUGUCUCUUUUGGUGAAUGCAAAUUCACUUACGAAUAACAACGGUCUUCAUCGUAUAAAUUUUACAAUUAGAAUUGUUACAUAAUAAGAGUCUGAAUUGUGGGUGCAAAGAAAUUUCUCAAUAGCCAAAACGACAAUUUCCUCAAUGUUGUGAAAUCUUUAUUUAAAUGUCUUAUAUUUACGGUACGAGUAAGUACAUAUAUAUGUGUGUUGUGAUUAAUGAAUCUCCACUAAUCACCAUUUGUCAUUCUUAAUCUAGAGUUUACAAAUAAAUUAAUGGUGAUUAGGGACCAAUAAUUCCAUAAACAAUUUGUAAUAUAUAUUGAUUGAUGCUAACUUAGUUUUUAAUACAAAAAAAAAAAUCACAUAAAAAAUAUAAACUUAAAGAUUUGAUUCCGCCGGUGUAUAUUAUAAACGACAAUUAGAGCUGUUAAAUAAUAGGAGUCUAAAUUGUGGGUGCAAAAAAAUUUCUCAAGAACUGAAACGACAAUUUCCUUAAUGUUGUGAAAUCUUUAGAUAAAUGUCUUAUAUUUUCAAUAUGAAUAAGUACAUAUAUAAGUGUGUUGUGAUUAAUGAAUCCUCCACUAAUCACCAUUUGUCAAUCUUAAUCUAAAGUUUAUAAAUUAAUUUGUGGUUACUAGGGACCAAUAAUUCCAUAAACAAAACUACAAACAAUCCAAUAAACAAUUUGCAUAGUUGAUGAGGACCUAGUUUUUAAUACAAAAAAUAAAUAAAAUCACAUAAAAAUAUAAACUUAAAGAUUUUAUUCCGCCGGCAUAUAUUAUAAACGACAAUACUUGAGUCCUGAUUGAUAGAACGUGGCACCAUAAAAGGGGGACACGUGUCUUUUUAACUCUCCAAAUACCUAACCAACCUUGCAUUCUUUGUUUUGAUAUCAACCAGAAAGAAAAAAACUGAAAACUUCCUGUCAAAAAGGGAAAAAAGAGGAAGAAAGGAAGGUAAGGAUGGAAAGCCAAGACCAAGAGCACAUUGUGAUGCUGCCAUUCAUGGCUCAAGGCCAUCUAAUAUCAUUCCUGCAACUGGCAAGAAAUCUCCAACAGAGAAAAAGCUUGAUCACUGUCACCGUCGCAAGCACCGCACUCAACUUCCAAUACCUCCACACAACGAUCGCCUCCAACUCAAGCUCUCAAUCUGACUCCAACAUCCGUUUGGCUAAGCUCUCAUUCUGCAGCACAGACCACGGCUUGCCCCCGUACGGCGAGAACACGGAGAACUUGCCUCUCAGCAAAAUAGGAAACCUAGGCGCUGCAUCAACGAGUCUUGAAUCUCCUACUCACCGCUUUAUCUCUGAUAUCAUCGAAAAAGAAGGUCGCCCGCCGCUCUGUAUUAUCUCUGAUAUGUACUUUGGAUGGGGCUGCUAAUCUUGCAAACAGCUUUGGAACUGCGCUUGUGACUUUCACCACAGGUGGUGCCUAUGGCACUGCAGCUUUUGUGUCUAUUUGGCUUAACCUCCCACACCGUUCUAUAGCUUCGGAUGAGUUCCCGGUGCUGGGGUUUCAUGAGAGUUACCGCUUCCAUAUCUCUCAGCUGAAUCCAUACUUAAGAGCUGCAGAUGGUACUGACUUCGGAUCAAGAAAUUUUUAACCUCAGCUUUCGCUUUCUACGAAAUCUUUUGGUUGGUUGUGUAGUACUGUUGAGGAGAUUGAGCCAUUUGGAUUUAAGAUCUUGAGGAACUACUUGGGGUGUCCUGUAUGGUCCAUCGGACCACUUCUUCCUUUAGAAGCACUCAACAAAUCAUCUACGUUGGCCUCAAGUGUUUCUAGGAAAAUUUUCUCUUACCUAAUAAAAAUUGCAUUUCCUCAUGGCACAUAGUAACAUGCAAACAACCUGUUUUCAGCUGCUAUGGGAGACGGAUUUAUAGCUUGUGACAUAACGUUUGAGAAUAAUGCCGGUCCAUCAAAGCACCAAGCGGUUACCCUCCGAGUCGGCGUUGACAAGUCAGUGAUUUUUCGAUGCUCCAUGGUCGGCUACCAAGACACCCUCUACACUCUCUCCAAGCGCCAGUUCUACAGAGACACCCAAAUCUACGGAACAGUUGAUUUCAUAUUUGGAAACUCAGCAGCAGUUUUCUAGAACUGCAACAUUUACGCAAGAAAAUGCGCUUCGACCGGUCUUAAAAACUUUGUCACAGCACAAGGUAGAACCAGCCCAUAUCAGAACACUGGAAUUUCGAUUCAUAACUGCAAAAUUUCGGCUGCUUCAGACCUUGCUCUGGUGAAAUCCAAGUAUGAGACGUAUCUUGGGAGGCCAUGGAAGCAGUACUCAAGAAUAGUUAUCAUUGUUGGGGCUUAAAAAGACUUCACUACUUUGGAGUUGUUUAUCUCACAAAGGAGAAUGUAAUGCAGCGGAAUUGAUAGGCAAGAGAAAGAAAGAAUACUCAAAGUAUUACAUAAGAUUUUUAUUCACUCACAAACUUAGCACAAGAGGAAACACUCAAACACUCUUAGAAGCUUUGUUGCUUCUUCUCACUUCUCACUACUUGCUCUCUUGGUUGUUUCAAAUGGUGUGGAUGCCUUCUCCUUUUAUAGGCAUGGAUGGAACCUUGGAGAAGCAUGGAAACAUCAUGCUAGAGAUAUCUAGAUAAUUCCACUACCUUUCUAAGCUAGAAUUAUCUACACUAAUCUUGUAUGUUGGUGGAAUCCUCACCAUUCUUCUAAACUCUUCCACCAACUUGAACUUUGCUAGAAUUCUCUAGCAUGUGCAUGGAUCUUUCUUUGUGCAUGGGCUAGAUCCAUUAUCUUUGGGCCAAGACAAGAUUACAAUUUCACAUCCCCCCUUAAUCUUGUCUUGUGACGCGGAUUGAGUUCCUCAGUCUGAUAAAGUCUUCUUGUUUGAGUGGCUUAGUGAAUAUGUCUGCAAUUUGGUCUUGAGACUUCACGUAUUCCACUUGUACAUCCUUUCUUGCAAUACACUCUCUUAUGUAAUGAUAACGGGUAUCUAUGUGUUUGCUCCUGUUAUGGAAUACUGGAUUCUUUGCUAGAGCUAUUGCAGACUUGUUGUUGACAUAGAUCUCUGUUGGCUCUUAUUGUGGCAUGCUUAAUUCUUUCAGCAAGUUUCUCAGCCAGAUUGCAUGAUAGACACAUGAGGUAGCAGAUACGUAUUCAGCUUCGCAGGUAGAGAGAGAGUGACAAUCGGUUGCUUCUUUGACAUCCAUGUGAAUGCAGUGUCUCCCAUGAAGAACACAAAUCCAGCAGUGCUUUUUCUAUCGUCGGAAUCUCCUGCCCAAUCACUGUCUCUAUAUCCAGCAAGUUUGUAGUUAUCAGAACUUGAAUAUAAUAAGCCAAAGUUAACAGUACCUUUAAGAUAUCAAAGAAUUCUUUUGGCGGUCUUCAAAUGUGUAGUUGUGGGAUUCUCCAUGUAGCGACUGACUAAUCCGAUUGCAUAGAGAAUAUCUGGUCUUGUGCAAGUCAAGUAGCGCAAGCUUCCAACUAAACUCUUGAAAAAUGUUGGAUCUACACUUUCUCCUUCGUCAUGCUUGGUUAGUUUGACUCCGUACUCCACUGGCGUGCUUAUGGGCUUGCAAUUGUCCAUUUUGAACUUUUUCAGUAUCUCCUUUGUGUAGCUUUCUUGGGAGAUGAAAAUGCCUUAUUCGUUCUGCUUAACUUCAAUGCCUAGGUAGUAUGCCAUUAACCCGACGUCGGUCAUCUCGAAUUCUUUGGUCAUCAUUCUCGUGAACUCUUCAUACAUGCUUGGAUUACUUUUGGUGAAUAUUAGAUCAUCCACAUAUAAUCACACAAUCAGAAUAUCUUCAUCUUUGACUUUGACGUAGAGAGCAUGUUCAUGAGGGAACUUGAUGAAGUUAUUUUCUUGGAAGUACUUAUCAAGCGACUAUUCCAUGCUCAUGGUGCUUGUUUUAACCCAUAGAAGGCUUUCUUCAACUUCAGAACUUUAUCUUCAUGCUCUGCUGAAUGUAGACUUCUUCUUCAAGGACUCUAUUUAGGAAAACGGACUUCACAUCCAUUUGUUGAAUCUUCCAUUUGUUUUGAGCUGCCAAAGAAAUUAGUAAUCGUAUAGUUUCCAACCGAGCAACGGGUGCAAAUACCUCAUCAUAGUUGAUUCUGGCUUUUUGACUAUAGCCCUUCGCUACUAAUCUCGCCUUGUAUCUUUCGACCUCUCCGUUGGCAGUUUUCUUUGUCUUGUACACCCACUUGACUACGAUGGCUUUGUGUCAUUUCGGAAGAAUAACAAGUUCCCAUGUAUCAUUUUUCUGAAUUGCUUCGAUGUCUUCGUCCAUUGCUUUACUCCAUUUAGUAUCUUGCACUGCUUUUUGGAAGUCGACUGGUUCACAAUCAGCAAAGAGACAGAAAAUUGUAGGAUUAUCAUGUCUUUCAGCUACCUCAUAAAGAUCUCGUAUACUUCUUGUGCGUGGUACUUCUUUUUCAUUUAAACUCCUACUUGACGAUGCUGAUGCUGGUGAAUUGCCAUGAUUGGUUGAUAUUGGUGAAGUAGGUGGAGUAGUGGAUUCUUGUUGAACCUCUCUUACUUGCUCCACCAUCCCUUGCUCAUUCUUUUCUUCAAACUGAGGAAAGAUCAGAUCACACCUACAUGAGAGCCAAAAUCCCAUUCUCAUUCUUCAUCGAACGUCACGUCUCGACUGAUCACUGUCUUCCCAUUGUUUGGAUUAUACAGCUUAUAGCCUUUUGAAUUUGAGUCAUAGCCAAUGAAGAUGAACUUCUCACUUUUGUCAUCGAGUUUGGUUAUCCUCUCGUCUGGUACAUGUCCAUGGGCUAUGCUUCCAAAAACUCUUAGAUGAGAGAUACCUGGUUUUCUUCCACUCCAUGCUUCUUGCAGAGUCUUUCCCCACACACUUCUUGUUGGUGACCUAUUGGAUAGGUAGACAACACAUGAUAUAGCUUCUGCCCACAACUCCUUAGGCAAUCUCUUACUUUUGAGCAUGUUUCGAGCCAUGUUGAGGAUGGUUCGAUUUUUUCUUUCUGCCACAACAUUUUGUUGAGGGGAUAUUGGAAUUAUCAAAGGUCAACGUAUUCCAUUUGCUUCACAUAAUUCUUGAAAUUCCUUCGAAGUGAAUUAUCCUCCUCGAUCAGAUCUCAUGGCUUUGAUCUUGCAACCACUUUCUUUUUCUACAGCGGCUUUGAACUUCUUAAAUGCUCCAAAGGCCUCUGAUUUCUGCUUUAAGAAAUAUACCCAGGUUUUCCUUGAAAAAUCAUCAAUGAAGAAAAGGAAAUAAUUAUUUUUACCCAAAGAGCUUGGUUUUAUUGGACCGCACACAUCGGUGUGAAUAAGCUUGAGUGUCUUCUGGGCUUUUAUGGUCGACUCCUUUGGAAAGCUUUUCCUGAACUGUUUCCCAAGUAAAUAUCUUUCACAAACUUGAUCAGGGCGACUGAUGCACGGUAAGCCUUUCAGAAUCUCCUUCUUGGAUAAUAACUCUAGUCCCCCAAAGUUAAGAUGCACAAAACAAAGAUACCAAAGCUAGGAUGUGCCUUUGUAACAUGUUUGAGGCACUUUGCAACAUCAUUUUGAAUAUUCAUAGGAAACAUCUUAUUCUUUGACAUUUUCACCUUGGCAAUUAAUCUUCCUUUGUCAUCUCUACGAAAAAGGCUAUAAUUUUUCAUAUGAAUAUUAUAACCUUUUUUUAAGAGUUGACCCAAGCUCAAAAUGUUGCUUUUCAUAUUGGGCACGUAGUAGACAUUAGAAAUUAAUUGGUGACCGCCAUAUUUCAGGGGAAGGAUGUUACUUUUUCCUUUUACGGGUAUUUUGGAUUUGUCUCCAAAAGAAACGUUGCCAUUCACCGAUUCAUUAAGCUCUACGAACAUGCUUCUUCUGCACAUGUGGUUGUUGGCGCCGGUGUCAAGGUACCAUGUAUAGUCUUGGUCUCCAUCAUUGUUUUUGUAUGCUAGUAACACAAUGCCAUUCUCUUCUUUCGUUUCUUUCACAUAAUUGACCUUCUCAUCAAGCCUGUUGCUUGGAGCUCUACAUUCCCAAGCAUAAUGCCUAAACUUUUGACAAUUGUAGCAUUGAACUUGAGAUUUUUCAUACCUCAAGUUUGAGAGUCCUCUUCCAUGACCUUUUGUUGAGCUUUCUCCUCUUUCAUAGUUAAUAUGGUUGUUGAAGUUCCAACCACGUCCACGUCCAUGUCCACGUCUGCGUUCUCGACCAUGACUUCCUCCAUACUGGCUUCUCUCGUUGUCGAAGCUUUCUUCUUUCUUCUUUGGUUGGACAUGCAUCUUGAGGAGCUGCUCUUCAUUCCCUUGCCUCUUCUUAUGUUUCUCUUCAUAUGCUUGUAACGAACCCAUUAAUUACUCUAUACUAAUUUCUUCCAAGUUUUUAGUUUCUUCAAUCGUCACGACAAUGUGCUCAAACUUGGGGUCCAAUGAGCGUAGUAUCUUCUCAAUAAUUCUAACAUCUUUUAACUUUUCACCGUUUCUUUUUAAUUGAUUGGAAACGGCUAAGACUCUUGAGAAAUAAUCAGAGAUUGAUUCAGACCCUUUCAUUUGUAGAGAUUCGAACUCACAUCUUAAUACUUGAAGACGAACCUUUUUCACUUGUUUGGCUCAUUUGUAAGAGGUUUGAAGCUUCUCCCAUGCUUGCUUGGCAAAGGUUGCACUUGAGACCUUCUCAAAGCCAUUGUCAUCUAAUGCUUGGUAGAUAAGGUAGAGAGCCUUCUUGUCUCUCUUUCUUGAAUCUUUCAAACUCUCCUUCUGGGGUUGGGACAUAAUAGCUUCAUCGUCUGGCUUAGUGAAGCCUUUCUCCACGACUUCUCAUACAUCGUGUGCUCCCAAAAAGGCCUUCAUUUUGAUACUCCAAUUAUCGAAGUUGUUGUUGUCGAGCACUGGAACUUGGAAGCCUGCUAUAGCGUUGCUAGCCAUAGCUCUGAUGCCACUUUGUUGGGGCUUAAAAAGACUUCACUACUUUGGAGUAGUUUAUCUUACAAAGGAGAAUGUAACGCAGCGGAAUUGAUAGGCAAGAGAAAGAAAGAAUACUCAAAGUAUUACACAAGAUUUUUAUUCGUUCACAAACUUAGUACAAGAGGAAACACUCAAACACUCAAAGAAGUUUUGUUGCUUCUUCUCACUUCUCACUACUUGCUCUCUUGGUUGUUUCAAAUGGUGUGGAUGCCUUCUUCUUUUAUAGGCAUGGAUGGAACCUUGGAAAAGCAUGGAAGCAUCAUGCUAGAGAUAUCUGGAUAAUUCCACUACCUUCCUAAGCUAGAAUUAUCUACACUAAUCUUGUAGGUUGGUGGAAUCCUUACCAUUCUUCUAAACUCUUCCACCAACUUGAACUUUGCUAGAAUUUUCUAGCAUGUGCAUGGAUCUUUCUUUGUGCAUGGGCUGGAUUCAUUAUCUUUGGGCCAAGACAAGAUUACAAUUCAACAAUCAUGCAAUCUUACUUGGAUGACACAAUUAGUAGGGCUCGUUGGUCACUUUGGUUAGGUGGGUUUGCUCUAAACACAUUGUAUUAUGGUGAGUAUUCGAAUUAUGAGUCUGGGGCUUCAACUUCGGGUCGGGUCCGGUGGUCGGGGUAUCAUGCAUCACUUACACCGGUUGCUGCACAAGCUUUCACUGUUAGUGGUUUCAUCUCUAGCAACCUUUGGUUGCCUUCCACUGGGGUUUCUUUUGAUUCGGGACUCAUUAAAUGAUUGCAAUAGCGGUUUUCGCACUCUCAGUUUAGCUUCGGACACUUCGGUUGUGAUGUGAACGUACAAAGUAUAUAACAUACUCAAUUUAAAUGUGAGAAGCUAAUCUAAGAGUGCCAAAAUUACUACCUUUUGAAGGCGUUGUGCAUUUGUAUAAAGUUGUAUUUGUGUUUGGUUAGAUGUGAUCUGAAACCAAAGGGCUUAUGUGAUCGCA